GCGUCGAUGGGGUAAGGGUAACCUUAGAGAUUCCCAACCGUGGAACUUCUCUAGCUCCGGGUUCGAGUCCCGGUCGACGCA